rnacentral:rRNA from 1 species
CCUACGGGAGGCAGCAGUGAGGAAUAUUGGUCAAUGGACGAGAGUCUGAACCAGCCAAGUAGCGUGAAGGAUGACUGCCCUAUGGGUUGUAAACUUCUUUUAUAUGGGAAUAAAAUGUUCCACGUGUGGGAUUUUGUAUGUAACAUAUGAAUAAGGAUCGGCUAACUCCGUGCCAGCAGCCGCGGUAAUACGGAGGAUCCAAGCGUUAUCCGGAUUUAUUGGGUUUAAAGGGAGCGUAGGUGGAUUGUUAAGUCAGUUGUGAAAGUUUGCGGCUCAACCGUAAAAUUGCAGUUGAAACUGGCAGUCUUGAGUACAGUAGAGGUGGGCGGAAUUCGUGGUGUAGCGGUGAAAUGCUUAGAUAUCACGAAGAACUCCGAUUGCGAAGGCAGUUCACUGGACUGCAACUGACACUGAGGCUCGAAAGUGUGGGUAUCAAACAGGAUUAGAUACCCCUGUAGUC